GUGUCUCGCUUUGGCAGCACAUAUACUAAAAUUGGAACAGAGAAGAUUAGCAAGGCUCCUUUGCAAGGAUGACACACAAAUUCAUGAAGUGUUCUAUAUUUUA
ensembl:snRNA U6 U6 spliceosomal RNA